GAAGAGGUCCAUGCCACCCUGAACAUGCCGAUCCCGUCUGAUCUCGGAAGCUAAGCAGGGUCGGGCCUGGUUAGUAUUUGGAUGGGAGACCACCUAGGAAGACCAAGUGCUAUAGACA
rnacentral:rRNA from 1 species